CCUACGGGAGGCAGCAGUGAGGAAUAUUGGUCAAUGGUCGGGAGACUGAACCAGCCAAGCCGCGUGAGGGAUGAAGGUACAGAGUAUCGUAAACCUCUUUUGUCAGGAAACAAAGGCGGGGACGCGUCCCCGGAUGAGUGUACCUGAAGAAAAAGCAUCGGCUAACUCCGUGCCAGCAGCCGCGGUAAUACGGAGGAUGCGAGCGUUAUCCGGAUUUAUUGGGUUAAAAGGGUGCGCAGGCGGUCUGUUAAGUCAGCGGUAAAAGCCCGGGGCUCAACCCCGGCCCGCCGUUGAAACUGGCAGUCUCGAGUUGGAGAGAAGUAUGCGGAAGGCGCGGUGUAGCGGUGAAAUGCAUAGAUAUCGCGCAGAACUCCGAUUGCGAAGGCAGCAUGCCGGCUCCACACUGACGCUGAGGCACGAAAGCGUGGGUAUCGAACAGGAUUAGAUACCCUAGUAGUC
rnacentral:rRNA from 1 species